UUUUAUGUUGCAUAAAUUAUCUUACUUGUUUUCAUUGCCAUGAAUCUGAUUGCUCCUAAUACAAUUUAAAUGAAAGUUUUCUCUUUCUGACAGUACCAUGCACCACUGUAAACACAGAUCUGCCUAGACUCAGUAUCCAUCCUUGGUUUUAUGAGUCACCCCUUCUCAAUUACCUUAUUUUCUAAGGAGCAUGGGCUUCUCAGAAUGAGGAACUGAAAAUUACUGAAAUUAACACCUUGUUCUGUAUCAGAUUAAAGGAGUUAAAAUCCACAGUCAGUUCCAAAUGCAGGAGACUGGAAUUGCAUUAUGUCUUUCUAGUAAUAUGGUUAAUGAGAAAGUAUGUCUAAAUUAACUUAAAAGGCAGGGGAGACAGAAGAAAUAUUCAUAAUUCAGAUUAAAAUGAUACACAAAAAAUUAAGAAAUUUUUAUUUCCAGGGUGAAUUAAAUAAAAUUCUGCCCUUAAUUUAGUCGUAAGGGAUACAGACAUUCAGUUCAGUGGCACCAGGAUUUUUACUGUGUUAAUACUUGAAACAUAUUCAAUACUUUUUAUUUCACCUGAAAGUACUGUGGAGGUUUUCUACCUUUUUUUUUUCAAAGAGCUGAAUGUAUAAAAAUGUUAUCUGUUAUGAACCAUUCAACAAUAACCCAGUUUCAGUUAUCUGAUUUAAUUUGAGCCCCAAAUUCAAAAAUCUAGAGUGUUUUAUAGUAAAAGUUACUAAUGUACAUAAAAACUGAAUAUAUAUUCGUUCUGUUUAGUCAAUUAAAAGAUAGAUCUCUUUUUUUUUUUUUCUCCUUCUCUUCCAAUAAUGUUUUGUUGUUUGUCUGCCAAGUCUUGUAAAAGGAAUUACUUUCUUUGGAAGUCUUUAGAAACUCCUACAUGUAUAAAAGAAAAUAAUUCAGUAGCAUUAUAGCAUAACAAAAGUUAUAGCCAACAAUGUUAGGGCAUAACUGGGGAAUUAAAUCUGAACACACUAUGAAACCAUUUAGGGGAAAAAAGCAUUAGCAAAUGCAUAUAAUUUUGUUUGUGUAAUUUGUCAUUAAGAAGAGAAAAACAAAUAUGUCAGAGGUGAAAGUUCAAUUUUAUGAAAAAUCGUUCCCAUAUCUUUAGUGUUUAUUCCGACGGAAAAUUGCAGGUUUUAUAGUCAGUUCUGGCAUUUUCCUGGGAGAAAGUGAGAAUGUUUCUCUCCCUUUCUGGUAAGAGUCUCGCAGCAGCUUUGGGAAUUGCUGAGAUCAAGACUUGCAUUUACUUUCCUUUUUGACUCAUGGAAACUUUGUUACUGUAAUUUCUGCAUACAAUGUAUUCUUAGAGAGGCAGAAUAAAGCAGAAAUACAAGGUCACCUACAAAUUACCUGAAAAAUUUUACACAUCCUUUAUGACAGACAAGCUCAGUGCCCCAGACAAUUAACAGAUCUUACACCAUAUUGUUUGAAAACUUUUAUUUUCUGGGACAAGAGAAAUUGAGAGUCUGAGUUUGCUAAUUGUUUUUCCUCUAUCCUUGAUGUCACUCACAUAGGUGGCUAUGCCACCUUGAAGAAAAAGGUUUUUUCCCUUUUUAUGUCUAAGCUCGUGCAACCUUCCUAUGUGAGGACAUGACCUGAACUGAUGCUAAUAGUUCAUUCAUUGUUAUUCAUACUAUUUUUAUAAUCUUACAAAGCUUGAAUGAGUAACUUCUUACUUUAGAGCAGUUCAUUGCUCCACCAAGGGGGAAAAAAAGUGUAAAAAUGUACAGUCUGUACCUUGUUUUUGUCCUUAUAGUCAAUAUAUAGAAAAUAUAGCUUUAAAAGUGGUUUAAGUAUUUAAAAGUAUUUAGCAGAUGUUUGCACGGAUUUAAUUAUUUUAUGAUACUGCCUCAGUAUUACCAUAUGGCACCACUUAUCUUUAAGACACAUUUGUGUUUUUAUAUCACUUGUUUCUAAAUUCUAGAUCCUUCAAGAUGGAAAUAUUGCAACUUAGACUGUUUGCAUGACUUUUGACAGAAGGAUGAAAAGUCAGCAAAAGGCACAUCCUUGGCACUCCAGUGAGGUCACUGACUAAGUGUAGUACUCUUCAACAAGACAUGGAGAAGAUAAAAGCUGGCGUAUCUUUCAAGACAAUUAAUUUCCUCCUAAAAUCUUAGAAAGGCCUGGGCCAUUUGGUUUAAACUUAGACAAAGCCUGAGGCAGGUAUUCACCAUGCCAAAUCUUAGGCUGAAUGGCUACAUUUAUUACAAGUGUAAACUGUUUUAAAGUGUGGACAGGGGACAAAUGUAGGCAGCAUUGGUGUAUAGCAUGAAAUAGUUUUCUGCUUUUGCUCCUCAAAUGCAGAAAAGAAACUGUGUCUGGAUGAAUAGCUCUGUGCCAGUCAGCUUCCAAAUAGUCAAAUGUCUCUCAUCUACUCAACAUCCCACACACAAGUGUGUGUGGGAAUGCUUGUAAAUUUAAUGAAGUGCUGACUGAAAGAAGUUUAUGCCUGGCUUCCAAUUAAAUACUAGUAAGAUAAGCUUAGGCAGCAUAAAAUCCUUGUUAUUAUGAAGAUGGAUUAUGUUAGCUAUCAGCAACCUCUGACCGCCCAACUUUAAAACAUUGCCAAUAUUUUUUUUCAGUGGGACACUCUCUUGAUUCCAGUGAGGUUUGGAUUGGUGUCUUAGAUGUGCAGGUGUUGCUAAUACAGGGGUCAAAGCAGACUUCAGUGGUUCCAUCUUGUUACAACCUCAUCCUACGGUGCAUACAAUUGAAGCUAUGCUGACAAGGCUCAUAGUAACACUGAGGAAACAGAAGCUGUGGUGAUAUCAAAACUACAAAGAAAACUGCAAAAGUUUUAUUCUGUGGUGAAGCUAUGGUAUCCUAAGUUUCUGUGCAGUGGCUACUGAAAUGGUUGUCUAGUCCUGCUCUGCUCAAGAUGCAUGAAUUCAGAGAGGCAUGAUAUAAUUCUUGUGAGCUUCACUGGUAGAGGGUGCCCAGAUGAUAUAGUAGAAAGAUGCUGAGGAUAUUCAAUACCUCCAUUGCAAAAAAUAUUAAGUCAUAAUUAGAGCCUAAUUAAUACAUGGAUUAAGAAUAAUAGGUAGAACUGUCCCAAUAUACCAAAUUGUAUUAAAUAUAUAUUUCAGUUUUCACAGUUUACUAGCUCUUCUGAACAUCUUGGGAACUUUUUUUACUAAGUAGUUUUAAAAUACUUUAAAAUACUUUCCAUGCUUCAGAACAUGGAAAUUCCCCAUUCUUGUUCAUAUUUUUACUUCCUUCACCUAUUGGUAGACUGCAUCUUCCACAGGAUUAUGUCAUGGCUAAAAGACUUCAAUGAAGAGGAAAACCAUGUUCUUAACUUUUUUUUCAGGUACACUGUUGAAACAGUACAAAUUCUGCAAAGUUUCUGAAUGUUAGGGGCCAUUUUUGAAGCAGAAGGCUGUGGGCAGUAUUAGUUUAAUAUACUGGCCUAGUCUUGGAAAUUUUGUUAACUUUUUAAGUCUUAGACAUGGUAUAUUGUGCUGUGGUUGGCAGGCAAGACAAUUCACCACAAAUAAGGGAACAGGAUUAUAAUUUUGCAUUCCAGACAUAAAUUGAUAUACACAAAAAGACAAACUAUCUAGAAAGAAAAUGUUAACUAUGAUUUUGAAAAUAGGUGUUUGUUGUUCUCUUAUUUUUUUUGUAAAUAUGUUUGAUGUUUAAUUUUAAAGAAUUGCAAAAAUUGAUUCCUAGAUGAGAUCCUAUUUUUUACAGAUAUACAGAAACAAAUUCCUUGCAGAAUGCUGUAUGAAGCAAAGUGACACAGAGUCCCCAGGCAGGUGCAAUGGAGAGCUGCUUUAUUGCAAAAACCUGGCCUUUUUAAGCAGUUAGCCAGUUAUCAGUUUUCAUAGUUUAAAGGCACAACAACCCCAAGUCAACCAACCACCACACACCACGGUGUGGACAUGUGGCAGUCACACACACCAUGUCUCUCAUCUCUCUUUCUUCUACUCAAACUAAUUAGCAGGCCUGAGCCCUGAUUUUACAAAGGUAACAAGGCCCUUAUUUUAUAAGGCUUUACCUAGAUGCAACAGAAUACUAAGAAAUUAGAAGUCUGAAAAAUGUUGUGUUGGAAGUGGCUGUUUGCUGGCACCGGUGAAUAACUCUGUAUUGAGACUGUGACCAGGCAUAUAAGUGCAUGCUA